rnacentral:rRNA from 1 species
GGAUAACCCGGCGAAAGUCGGACUAAUACCGCAUAAAACAGGGGUCCCGCAUGGGAAUAUUUGUUAAAGAUUUAUCGGUUGCGGAUGGGCAUGCGUACCAUUAGGUAGUUGGUGAGGUAACGGCUCACCAAGCCUUCGAUGGUUAGGGGUUCUGAGAGGAAGGUCCCCCACACUGGUACUGAGACACGGACCAGACUCCUACGGGAGGCAGCAGUGAGGAAUAUUGGUCAAUGGGCGAGAGCCUGAACCAGCCAAGUCGCGUGAAGGAUGACUGCCCUAUGGGUUGCAAACUUCUUUUACAAGGGAAUAAAAUGAGAUACGUGUAUUUUAUUGCAUGUACCUUGGGAAUAAGCAUCGGCUAACUCCGUGCCAGCAGCCGCGGUAAUACGGAGGAUGCGAGCGUUAUCCGGAUUUAUUGGGUUUAAAGGGUGCGUAGGUGGGCUGUUAAGUCAGCGGUGAAAGUUUGUCGCUUAACGAUAAAAUUGCCGUUGAAACUGGUAGUCUUGAGUAUAGAUGAAGUAGGCGGAAUGCGUGGUGUAGCGGUGAAAUGCAUAGAGAUCACGCAGAACUCCGAUUGCGAAGGCAGCUUACUAAGGUAUAACUGACACUGAAGCACGAAAGCGUGGGUAUCAAACAGGAUUAGAUACCCUGGUAGUCCACGCAGUAAACGAUGAUUACUAGGAGUUUGCGAUAUACAGUAAGCUCUACAGCGAAAGCGUUUAGUAAUCCAC